rnacentral:rRNA from 1 species
UACGAAGGGGGCUAGCGUUGCUCGGAAUCACUGGGCGUAAAGGGUGCGUAGGCGGGUCUUUAAGUCAGGGGUGAAAUCCUGGAGCUCAACUCCAGAACUGCCUUUGAUACUGAAGAUCUUGAGUUCGGGAGAGGUGAGUGGAACUGCGAGUGUAGAGGUGAAAUUCGUAGAUAUCGAGAGGAACACCUGUGGCGAAGGCGGCCAACUGGACGAGUACUGACGCUGAGACGCGAAAGCGUGGGGAGCAAACAGG